rnacentral:rRNA from 1 species
AUACGUAGGGGGCGAGCGUUGUCCGGAAUGAUUGGGCGUAAAGGGCGCGUAGGCGGCCCGGUAAGUCUGGAGUGAAAGUCCUGUUUUUAAGAUGGGAAUUGCUUUGGAUACUGUCGGGCUUGAGUGCAGGAGAGGUAAGUGGAAUUCCCAGUGUAGCGGUGAAAUGCGUAGAGAUUAGGAGGAACACCAGUGGCGAAGGCGACUUACUGGACUGUAACUGACGCUGAGGCGCGAAAGUGUGGGGAGCAAACAGGAUUAGAUACCCUGGUAGUCCACACUGUAAACGAUGAAUGCUAGGUGUAGGGGGUAUCGACCCCUUCUGUGCCGCAGUCAACACAAUAAGCAUUCCGCCUGGGGAGUACGGCCGCAAGGUUGAAACUCAAAGGAAUUGACGGGG